rnacentral:tRNA from 1 species
GGAGGGUUGGCAGAGCGGUUUAUCGCACCGGUCUUGAAAAUCGGAGGCCCCGCAAGGGGCCCGGGGGUUCGAAUCCCUCACCCUCCA